rnacentral:misc_RNA from 1 species
CCGCCGCGCACAGUCAUCAUUCAGUGUAGCUGCUUGUCGCGAGUCGGCCGGGUGUCUGGUGGUCGCUACCGCCGAAAUCCGCGAUAGCACGCGUUCGCAACUACAUUGGUGGCUACUGUGUGUGUGAGUGAGAGAGUGUGCGCGCGCUUUGUGUGUGUGUGUGUGUGUGUGUGUACGAUCGUGUGCAUCGCGUACGCUAGAGAGGGUUGUGCGUGUGCGCGCGCGGUCACCGGUGUACAGUAGACGCGAGUAUAAUAAUAAUAAUAAUAGAAGUAGUAGUAAAAUUACACCGAGGUGGGCGCCACGGCGUGAACGGACGUGCUUUUCGAGUGCACGCGUAAAGAGAAAAAAGGAAAUAUAAUACAAAAAUUGAAUAUUUAUAAAAAUAAAAAAUACAUAAAAAUAAAAACCUAUGUAAAUCGAGGCGGCUCUAAUUCGUCUCGUCGCACGGUACCUACAUAAUAUUUUAUUUCGCUGUCAUCUUGGUCGCGAUCGUUCGGGGGGAAACGACGUCGACAGCCGUGCACGCUCUGAAGUUUCGGUGCCGGCGAUCAAAGACGACGACGACAGUACAAUAGUGGCGACUGCGGCGGCGUGUACAGCGACGCGUGAGUAUGCUAUUUAUACGAGAACAACUGGACCGGCGGCGCCGCCGGUGAUACUGUCAUUCCACCGCACAGCAUGGCCUCGGUCGCCGCUUGGCUGCCGUUCGCCCGGGCGGCGGCCAUCGGUUGGGUGCCGAUCGCCACGCAUCCACUGCCGCCGCCGCCGGUGCCCAAGGACCGACGGAGAAUAGACGAUGAGAAGCUACUGAUCAACGUCUCGGGGCGCCGGUUCGAGACAUGGCGGAACACGGUGGAAAAGUACCCGGACACGUUGCUCGGGUCCAACGAACGGGAGUUCUUCUACGACGAAGACUGCAAGGAGUACUUCUUCGACCGGGACCCGGACAUAUUCCGGCACAUACUCAACUACUACCGUACCGGCAAGCUGCAUUACCCGAAGCACGAGUGCCUGACCAGCUACGACGAGGAACUAGCGUUCUUCGGCAUAUUGCCAGACGUCAUCGGCGACUGCUGCUACGAGGACUACCGGGACCGGAAGCGCGAGAACGCUGAGCGGCUGAUGGACGACAAGUUGUCGGAGAACGGCGACCAAAACCUGCCGCAACUCACCAACAUCCGGCAGAAGAUGUGGCGGGCGUUCGGCAAUCCACACACGUCCACCGCGGCGCUCGUCUUCUACUACGUCACCGGCUUCUUCAUCGCCGUGUCCGUCAUGGCCAACGUGGUGGAGACGGUGCCAUGCGGCCACCGGCCCGGCCGCGUAGGCACACUGCCAUGCGGUGAACGCUACAAGAUCGUGUUCUUCUGCCUGGACACGGCCUGCGUGAUGAUAUUCACCACCGAGUAUCUGCUGCGGUUGUUCGCCGCCCCGGACCGGUGCAAGUUUAUGCGCAGCGUCAUGAGCAUCAUCGACGUGGUGGCCAUCCUGCCGUACUACAUCGGACUGGGUAUCACGGACAACGACGACGUGUCCGGCGCGUUUGUCACGCUCCGCGUGUUCAGGGUGUUCCGGAUAUUCAAGUUCUCCAGGCACUCGCAGGGGCUUCGCAUACUCGGCUACACGCUCAAGUCGUGCGCUUCCGAACUCGGGUUCUUGGUGUUCUCGCUGGCCAUGGCCAUCAUCAUAUUCGCCACCGUCAUGUUCUACGCCGAAAAGAACGUGGACGGCACGAACUUCACGUCCAUUCCGGCCGCCUUUUGGUACACCAUCGUCACCAUGACCACGUUGGGGUAUGGUGACAUGGUACCCGAAACAAUAGCUGGAAAAAUUGUCGGUGGAGUGUGUUCACUAAGCGGAGUGCUUGUUAUCGCACUACCUGUACCAGUAAUUGUGUCUAACUUCAGUCGCAUUUACCAUCAAAAUCAGCGAGCAGAUAAAAGAAAAGCUCAAAGAAAAGCACGGCUAGCUAGGAUAAGGAUAGCAAAGGCCUCUUCGGGUGCCGCAUUUGUGAGCAAAAAAAAAGCGGCUGAAGCCAGGAUGGCGGCUCAAGAAUCUGGACUAGAGCUUGAUGAAAAUUACAGAGAAGAAGACAUAUUUGAACUGCAGCAUCAUCAUUUGCUUCGAUGUUUGGAAAAAACGACUAGAGUUUGUGGAGCUCGAAGUGCCAUAUAAUGGUCAAUCAAAAAGGCCAUGCUCACCGUCUCCCCUACUGAGCCCUAGCCAUUCGGCAUUAAGCAGGGUGAACUUCUUAAGCUCAUGCUGUACAAGAUGCUGUAAUCAACGGUAUCAGCACAAGCGAGAGAGCUCGCCGGACUCGAUAGGCGAACCCAUCAACGAGGAGGAGCUGAUCGAGGUGCAGAUGAAGCAGCGUCACACGUCAGCGGCCGCGGCGCCCGGCGGCGGCAAGUCGAGCAACUCACUCGAC